AGGAGUUGCAAUUUUGGUUUGAGGUUUCGUUUGGAAUUGCGAGCAAUUUUGCGGUACAUACUAUAAGAAAAUACGAAGAAAUAUGUAUAUUUUGUUUGUUUCUGUACGCAAUAUCAUAUUUGGCAUAUCGCGACAAAUCAAUCGUAAUUAACUUUUUAUGGUUCGACAAACAUAACUCUAUAUGUUUUCACUCCAACUCCGUUUUGCCUACUACCAUUAGAUGAACCUGAACACUAAACAGGCCCUGAAUAAAUUUUGGAAGGAGUUCGUGCGUAUCAAUUUAUGCAUGUUUGUAAUUUGUUAGUAGUAGCUUAAUAGCUCGGGACAUGGACGUCGACCGGGAGGUCAAGGGGUCGAGCUCCUGCCUGAGGUUAAAUUUGGGCUCAUGUCCCUUGACUCACAUAGUUAUGGGGAGGUCGGCAAAGAUGAUGCUGGUUACUCAAAUACCAUACAAACACUUACACUUUCUACUCGAAGCAGGAUUUGAUAAGUGGCUUAGGUUGAAAUAAUGGCGAGAGCUUGCUUAAUUAUUGAACCUCAUCCAAAACUAUACAAAGGACACACCGUCGCUAGUACCAAGUCAUUGUGUCCUAGCAUCCUAUGCAAAAUGAACCCACCCUUUUCCCAUCAAACCUAGUCAUCUAUGAAUUAUAUGCAAUUAUCUCCAUCACCAACUUAUUUCAUUUUUUGUCACAUCUAGUCUCUUGUGUCACUAUAAAUAGCCUAGGGCUCUCAAAGCGAAAAACCACAGCAAAAUUAAUCACUUCAAAUUGAUAGUUGUAACACUCACUGCACUUCUGAACAUGGCUCAAGAGCAGGUUCCAGUCAUGAUCACUGCUGCUGCAGGAAAUGAGGCUGAGUGGGAGCUGAUUCAAGCAAAAGAAGAUCAGCCAAAGUCGGAUUUCGUUGCUUCCAAGCUUCGGUGCGAUAGCUCCGACUCGGAUUCGAAGUCUGGUUCUGAUUUGAACUCGGUGAGAAACUUCAACAGUUUAAGACUUUUAAACAGAAGACGAUUAUAUCAUUUCGAAAACAACCGAUUUUCCAAAACUUUUAGCUUUUUAAUAGUAGUGUAUUGUAUAUCUUCGAUGCAACGCAAAUCAAUUGAUUUACUUUUUAGAAGACCUAGGAUGUUAUGAAAUGGUAUAUACAAAUUUUGGCGAGCUCCCUACGAACAUGCUCUAUCAAUUUUAUGUUACGUACGUUGAGCAAAAAGUGCUAACUUGGCGGGUUCUUUAUGUUUUGACUUAGCAAUCAAAUAAGAAAAAAGAUUUGAAAGGCAAAUCAAAAGUGGAGGAUCUGAAAGAGAAAAUCAGAAAGAAGAUAAGUGCGAAAAAAGAGCAAAGAAGGAAGAAAACGCUCGAACGCAACAGCUCUAAAUCCGGUUUAGUUUCUGCUUCUGCCUCACCCCCUACGGUCGAUCCUGACUCGGUAACACUACCUUACAAAUAUAAUAUUUUUUUAGUAUUUUAUUAUAUUUUUUCCUCUUUUUUUUUUAUUAGAUGAUACAAUAGCCAUCCUAGUAUAUACCUAUUAUUGGCUAAUUUUGGAGGAUAUGUUGGUACAUGGUACAUGCAAUUCUAGACAUGGUACUGUACUAAUUGCUUGUGAAUAUUAGAUUUAAAAAGUGAAUUGAGCUAAAUAUUGAGCCAAAAAUAACAAAAAUGUAGCUUAAUAUGCAAAAUACUUUUCUUACUUCUACUAGUGAUGACAAAACCUCCAAAAUACAGGCAAAGAAGAGGGGAAAGAAAGAGAUCGCAAAGAGUGCUCACAUGAAAGGACUUGACAAGCUGGAAUGUAAAAGCUCCGACUCAGAUUCAAACUCAAAGUCGGAUGAUGAUUCUAAAUCCGGUUCUGAUUCUGAUACGAAAUCUAAUCAUUCUGGGUUGAAAUCUGAUUCGGAAUCUAAGCCUACUCUGGUAAUAAUAAUAUUUUAACCUGAAAUCCAUGUCCAUAUGUGGUCACUAGCUUAUUAACUAUGUGAAAAUAGGUUAUUACAUGCUACUUGUUACUUGUAGUACAUAAUUAAGAGUUUCAUCCUACACCAAUCAUUUUUAGAGAUUAAAAAAAGCACAAUAAAUUUUCAUCAUAUGACUAAAUUGCAUCUACUUUCCUGAGCUAUCAUUUGCCAUAAGAUGCAAAAAUAUUAAUCACAGUAAAAUUUGUCCAUCCUUAAAAGCACAAGAAAGAAUACAAUAAAUUAAGUUGCUUUUUUCUAUGUUUAAUUUGUUUACGCGAAUUUUAUUGUGCUUUUAAGGAUGGAGAAUGAUUUUUUUUUUGUAUAUUUUACAUGAAUUGUUCAUUGUUAGCUUAUUCUGAUGCAUGUUGGGUACAUGGUAAUAAAAGUUCUAACCAUAACAUCUUAUUAAUUGCUUAUGAAUAUUAGUUGCAAAAGCUGAACUGAACCAAUUAUUGAGAUGGAAAUAACAAGAAAAUAAUUUAAUAUGCAACUUUUCUUGCUUCAUCUAGUAAUAGCAAAGUAGCUUAAUAUUCAAUUUUCUUUUGAUGACAAACACUCAAAAAUACAGGUAAAAAAGAUAGGAAACAAAGCGAUUAUAAGGACUACUCAUGUAGAGGGACUAGAUAAGCUGAAAUGUAAAAAGUCCUCGGAUUCAAGCUCCAAGUCUGAUGAUUCUUCAAAAUCCGAUUCGGACUCAAAGUCAAGUGAUGACUCUCCUUCGUCUCCUUCUUCGAAAUCCGAUGACUCUCCUUCUUCUCCUUCUUCGAAAUCUGAUGACUCUCCUUCUUCUCCUUCUUCGAAAUCUGAUUCUGAUUCAGAUUCGAAAUCAUCAGAUUCGAAAUCAUCAGAUUCUGGUUUGAAAUCUAACUCAGAAUCUAAAUUGAUUGCGGUAAUUAUAUUUUUAACCGGAAAGCCUUGUACAUUUGUGCUUAUUAGCCACUUUGACAUAACAUUAUUAACUCUGUUAAGAAAGAACCAAAACAUGAUUUACUUGUUUGCUAUUUGUUACUUGUAGUAUACGAAAGAGAUGACGGGAACUGCUCAUAUAGAGGGACUUGACAAGCUCGAAUGUAAAAGCUCGGACUCGGAUUCAAACUCAAAGUCGGAUGAUGAUUCUAAAUCCGGUUCUGGUUCUGAUUCUGACGCGAAAUCUAAUGAUUCUGGUUUAAAAGCCGGUUCAAAAUCUAAAUCCAGCGCGGUAAUUUUAUUAUUCAACCUGAAAACCCUAUAUUUUAUGCUCACUAGAUAGCUUGAAGUAAGCUAAUUAAAUAUAUGAAAAAAGAACGAAAACAAGAUUUACUUAUUUUCUAUUUGCUACUUGUAGUAUAUGAAAAUUUCAACCUACACCAUUACCUUUUUAAUAUGUGACUACAUUCAACAGUUACUUUAAAUAGCACAACACUAUAUUUUAUGCCACUUCUACAACAGCACUAUUUUCUACGACUUAACCGAAAAACCCCUACAUCACAUCUAUUUACCUAAGAUGUCAUCUGUCAUAGGAUACCAAAAAAUUGAUCACUGUAAAAUUUGCCCAUGGAUGCAAGCACAAAAUAGAAUAUUGUGGAUUUACCUUUUUUAUAUUUAAUUUGCUUAUGUAAACUUUACUUUAAGUGGGAAGAGAUUACAUGGAGGAUGAGUCUUUGCAUACCAACCUCUCAUAAAACUUUAAGCUGCCAAAGAAUAGUGUUUUAUUAUGUAGUUUAUAUAAAAUUAUUUUAGAUAUCUAUUAUUUGAUUAUUCUUCAUUAUUGUUACGUACAUAGGAAUAAAUAUUCUAGCCAUAAGAUUGUAUUAAUUGAUCAUGAAUAUUGGCAGCAAAAGCUAUUGUGCUAAUUGUUGAGCUAAAGAUGCAAAAAAGUAGUUUAAUAUGUAAUUUUUCUUUUUGUACUUAUGUCUCCAAGAUACAGGCAAAGAAAAAGGGAAAGAAAGAGAUGACAGGAGCCGCGCAUAUAGAGGGACUUGACAAGCUCAAAUGUAAAAGCUCGGACUCAGAUUCGAGCUCAAAGUCGAACGAUUCUGAUUCUGAUGCAAAAUCUAAUGAUUCUGGUUUGAAAUCUGGCUCGAAAUCUAAAUCUAGCAUGGUAAUUUUAUUAUUUAACCCUAGCACCCUAUAUAUUAUGCUCAUUAGGUAGCUUGAACUAAGCUAAUUAACUAGAUGAAAAAAGAAGUCUUUACUUAUUUUCUAUCUAUUACUUGUAGUAUAUAAAAAUUUCAACCUACACCAUUAACCUUUUAACAUGUGAGUACACUCACCGACCGUCCUUAGAGCAAGUGGCAAAGGACUUGGUGGUUGGUAUCGGAUGUCCCAAGUUUGAAUUCUAUUUGAUUCACAUUUCAAGCUAAAUUUAUUUCUAAAUAAAAUAAAUGAAACGAGUAGCGUGCUACCUAUCUCUCAAAAAUAUAUAUAUAUAUAUAUAUAUAAGUACACUCUACAGCUCCUUUAAACACCACAACACUAUAUUUUACAGUACUUAAGUACAUAUGUCAUAGCAUGGAUACAAGCACAAAAUAGAAUAUUGUGUAUUUACCUUUUUUAUAUUUACUUUGCUUAUGUCAACUUUACUUUAAAUGAGAAGAGAUUACAUGGAGGAUGAGUCUUUGUAUACCAACCUCUCAUAAAACUUCAGUCAAAGAAUGAUGUUUUGUAUAGUUUAUAUAUAAUUAUUUUAGAUAUCUAUUAUUUGAUUAGUCUUAAAUAAUUGUUAGGUACAUGGUAAUAAAAAAUUCUAGCCAUAAGAUUGUAUUAAUUACUUAUUUAUAUUAGCAGCAAAAGUUAUUAGGCUUACUGUUGAGUUAAAACUACGAAAAAUAGUUUAAUAUGUAAACUUUUUUACUGAUAUCUCCGAAAUACAGGCAAAGAAAAAGGGAAAGAAAGUGAUGACAGGAACUGCUCAUAUUGAGGGACUUGACAAACUCAAAUGUAAAAGCUCGGACUCGGAUUCAAGCUCAAAGUCUGGCGAUGAUUCUUCUUCUAAAUCUAAUUCUGAUUCUGACGCAAAAUCUAACGAUUCUGGUUUGAAAUCUGGCUCAAAAUCUAAAUCCGGCGCGGUAAUUUUAUCAUUUAAUGCGAAAACCCUAUAUAUUAUGCUCACAAGAUAGCUUGAAACAAUCUAGUUAACUCUAUGAAAAAGAACAAAAACAUGACUCACUUAUUCGCUAUUUGCUGCUUGUAAUACAAAAAAAGUUCAUCAUGUAUCGUUAAUUUAUAGAAAUUAAGAAAAGCACCGUUAAAUUUUAUUAUGUGAAUAGUUUGUAUCUAUCUCCUUAUAAGAUUUAUAAGGAUUUAUAACUGCAAAAUAACAAAAAGUAGUUUAAUAUGCAAUUCUUUUUCUACUUCAAUCUAGUGACGUCAAAGACUCCAAAAUACAGGUAAAAAAAAUACGAAAGAAAAAGAUCACAGGGGCUGCUCAUGUGGAGGGACUUGAUAAGCUGGAAUGUAAAAAGUCUGACUCAGAUUCAAAUUCAAAGUCGAGUGAUGAUUCUUCUUCCAAAUCUGAUUCCAAUUCAGAUUCUGAUAAGAAAUCUAAUCAUUCUGGUUUGAAAUCAGACUCGGAACCAAAAUCUAGUGAGGUAAUUAUAUUAUCUAAUUGAAAAAGCCCGGAUAUAAUAUAUAUCUGCUUACACUAGAUAGCUUGACAUAACAUUAUUAACUCUAUGAAAAAAAAAAAACAAAAGCUUGAUUCACUUAUCACUAUUUGUUACUCUUAAUACAUAAAAGUUCGUCCUAUAAAAAAAAAUCAAGUAAAAUUUUAUUAUGUCCAUAGUUUGUAUCUAUCUGCCUAAUAUUUCUAUAUCUGUCAUAGAUAUAGAAGGAUUUAUAACUGUAAAAUAACAAAAAGUAGUUCAAUACGCAAAUUUCUUUUUUUUCCUGCAAUCUAGUGACGGCAAAGACUCCAAAAUACAGGUAAAGAAAAUACGAAAGAAAAAGAUCACAAGGGCUGCUCAUGUGGAGGGACUUGAUAAGCUGGAAUGUAAAAAGUCUGACUCAGAUUCAAAUUCAAAGUCAAGCGAUGAUUCUUCUUCCAAAUCUGAUUCUGAUUCUGAUUCUGAUAAGAAAUCUAAUCAUUCUGGUUUGAAAUCAGACUCGGAACCAAAAUCCAAUGAGGUAAUUAUAUUAUCUAAUUGAAAAAGCCCGGAUAUAAUAUAUAUCUACUUACACCAAGUAGCUUGACAUAGCAUUAUUAACUCUAUGAAAAAAAAAAAAAGGAACAAAAGCAUGAUUCACCUAUCGCUAUUUGUUACUCAUAAUACAUAAAAGUUCGUCUUAUAAAAGAAAAUCAAGUAAAAUUUUAUUAUGUGAAUAGUUUGUAUCUAUCUGUCUAAUAUUUCUAUAUCUGUCAUACAUAUCGAAGGAUUUAUAACUGUAAAAUAACAAGAAGUAGUUCAAUACGCAAAUUUCUUUUUUUUUAGCUGCAAUCUAGUGACGGCAAAGACUCCAAAAUACAGGUAAAGAAAAUACGAAAGAAAAAGAUCACAGGGGACGCUCAUGUGGAGGGACUUGAUAAGCUGGAAUGUAAAAAGUCUGACUCAGAUUCAAAUUCAAAAUCGAGCGAUGAUUCUUCUUCCAAAUCUGAUUCCGGUUCUGAUUCUGAUAAGAAAUCUAAUCAUUCUGGUUUGAAAUCCGACUCGGAAUCAAAAUCUAAUGAGGUAAUUAUAUUAUCUAACCAGAAAAGCCUUUUAUAUAUAUAUAUAUAUAUAUAUAUAUAUAUAUAUAUAUAUAUAUAUAUAUAUAGUGUAGAGCUAUUAUGCUAGCUAUCGGAAGUAUAGAACAAAAGCACGAUUCACUUAUUCAUUAUUUGUUACUUAUAGUACAUGAAAGUUCGUUUUUGACAUAACAUUAUUAACUCUAUGAAAAAUAGAACAAAAGCUUGAUUCACUUAUUCACUAUUUGUUACUCAUAAUACAUAAAAGUUCAUUCUGUACCGUUAAUUUCUAGAAAUUAAGAAAAGUACAGUAAAAUGUUAUUACAUGAAUAGUUAAUUUGUAUCUAUAUGCGUAAAAUGUCUUAUCAUAAGAUAUAGAAGGACUUAUAACUGUAAAAUAACAAAAAGAAGUUUAAUAUGCAAUUUGUUUUUUACUUCUAUUUAGUGAUAACAAUGACUCCAAAAUACAGGUAACGAAAAUACGAAAGAAAAAGAUCGUAGGGGCUGCUCAUGUGGAGGGACUUGUAAAGCUGGAAUGUAAAAAAUCUGACUCAGAUUCGAAUUCAAAGUCAAGCGAUGAUUCUUCUUCCAAAUCUGAUUCCGAUUCUGAUUCUGAUAAGAAAUCUAAUCAUUCUGGUUUGAAAUCCGACUCAGAAUCAAAAUCUAAUGAGGUAAUUAUAUUAUCUAACCAGAAAAGCCUUACAUAUAUAUAUAUAUAUAUAUAUAUAUAUAUAUAUAUAUAUAUAUAUAUAUAUAUAUAUUGNAAAUGAGUUGAGACAAAAAUAUAUAAGGAUAAUAUAUGCUCUUAUUUUCGGAGGGAUAUGCAUCUUAACCAAAACAGAGCGAUAUACACAACGCGCUAUUGCUUACAAAAAUAAAGAAAACUUUUUUCAUAUUAUAAUUUUUCUUUGCACAUAAUGCAUCCCACCUGCAAUCCGAAACAGAGCUUUAAGAUCAAGGUUCUAUAGAAUUCGUGAGUUGAGACGACGUGUCGCCUAAUAAAGAACAUCAACUGGCUCCCUACUCAGCCUUAUGAAAAGAGUUGGUAUAUAUAUGUUCCAAACGAAAAUAACUAAGGACUUACUUAUUGAUAUCCAAAAAAUUAAGUUUAAAAUUUAGUUGCUUCACAUUUUUAGCUGAAUUUAUUUCUUAAAAAUGAAUAUACUAUUUUUUUAAAGCCAAUUUAUGCGUGACAAAUUAAUAUGUCAAUAUGUUAGUAAUUUUUUUGAAAAAGUUAAACCUAAUCACUCUUGUCACUCGAAAUGAUGUCAAUAAGAUAAAUGGAGAUGAUUUAUCUUAUUGCAAAAAAAAAAAAAAAGAAAAAAAGGCUGAAUAUAGUAUGUCAUUAUAGAUAUCUAAUAUCUAAUCAAGUUGUCAUAGUAGAUAUCAAUCUCUGAUUACACUCCUGAUCUUUCAAAUACUAAACUUUUUUUACAAAAAUUAAGAAAAUAUACUUAAUUAAUUCCUUUUAAGGGAAACCCAAAAAAAAAGUGUACCUUGGCUGUGUGAAACUCCUAUUACAAGCAUUGUGUGAACAAAAAAAAAGAAAGAAAACAAAAAAUCUUAAUUUUCUCCUGCACAUACUAUAUAUGCGUGACAAGUCAAUUCAUACAAUUAUAGAUAAGGAUUUAAGUGCCCAUCAGCCUAUAGUAAAGCUCAAAAAAAAUAUAAUUUUCAAGUAAUUUUUUUUUAAUAAAGUUCAAAAAUUUUAAUAAAAAUGCAUAAUAAAUAAAAAGAAUAUUUUGUUGCAAAAAAAAAAGUAAAUAUUGUAUGCUAUUAUAUAUUGUCGCAAAUGUAAUUUUAUGAUUUUGUAUAUACAAUGCCGUACUAUACCAACAAAUUUUCUCCACGCACAUAAAUCCUUACUAAUGUGUCAACAUCCACUCCUCAAGUAACCUUUAACUAGUUUCCAACACUAGGAGCUAAUUAACUAACUUAAUAAUGAAAGAGAGGGAGUGAGAAGAGUCAAAAACAUGUUUUUUCCCUUCAAAAAAUCACGAGUAGAGCUAGAAUACUUGUAAAAGUAUCACCCAAGUGAUACUUGUGUGUUUUUAGCCCUUGGAUGGAGAGAUGUGAGGUUGAGAUGAUGGUGGUAGGUGGAAUAGUGUUUGAUCCAAGGACUAUUAGUAAUCAAAAAGUAGAUCCAAUGGCUAAAAACAUACAAAUAUCAUUUAGGUGAUACUUGUAAGGGUGCGUUUGGUUCGCGCUAUCUUUUAAAGAUUCCUAGUAAUCCAAUGGGAAUAAAAAAAUAUGACGGUGUUUGGCUAAACGCGCUAAGUAAUCUAGUUGGUAAUAUUGGAUUCACUUGGGAAUAAGAUUCACCCCAAAGUACUAAUCUCAUUCCCUUGAGGGAGGGUGGGUAUCCUCGUAUUAAUGGAUUGGGGUAAUCAUAAUAUGUCUAAUAUCUUUCUUUCUUCCUACCCGCCGGCUAAUUGAUAUUAUUUUUCUUUACACUCUAACCUUAUAUCUCUCUCUAAACUUAUUUUUCUCUCUAAAAUUCAACUUUUUUCUCUCUAACUAAGCUUUCUCUCUUCUCUCUCUCUCUUUGCUAAAAUUUACUCUUACUCUCUCUAAUUUCGCUAUAUAUUUUUUUUCUAUUUUUUAAUUAUUCUCUCUCUCUCUACUGUUACAUCUCUCUCCCUUUUUUCUAAAAAAUGUUGAAACUUUUUGUAACAUAUAUCUAAAUUAAUUAAAUCUAAUUAAUUAAUAAUUGUAUAUUUUUUCUUAAUAUUAAAUAACAUGGCUAAUUAAUAUUACCAUCGCGAUACCAUACACGAGGAAUUCCACCUUCUUGAUAUAGGAUAAUAGAAAGAUAGAUCUCGGAUAUCUUUUUAUUCAUACAUAAUCUUUUUAAUGCGAACAAACGCACGCCUAAAAGUUAUUCUAGUCCUACUCAAAAAAUCACAUCUUUAAUAAUAAUUACCACUACAUAAGGAGAGCACUUGUCUUAGGUCAAAGUUUGCUCCCAAGUUACAAUUCCAAGUAAAGCCACCACCGUUCACACGAAGCAAGCCCAUUAGUUGAUGGAGAGCGUUUUCAAGUUUCCAUCUUGGAAAGGUCACUCCUGGACUCCCAAAGCCAAGUGUGCUGAGCAGGCUGAGCUUCUUCCAAAUCCAAACCUGCGAACUAUUCCAUUAUUAAAGUUAUUUGAAGCUUUUUUUCGUUUUUUUCUUUUCUUGAGAGAUAGAUAGCAAAGAUACUUGCCUUCGUUAUGUUUCAUAGAAAUAAAAUUAGUCAGAUUGGUCUGACUUUUUAUACAUGGGUAUCAGAAUUACAAAGUGAUCGAGUUGGAUUUUGAUUUAGCCAACUCGUUUUUCAACUAAUUUCGCGUUUCGUUUUAUCUGAUUUUAUCCACUCUCUAACCAAUUUGUAACAUGCUAAAAUAAGUAAAAAAAGGUUAGUUUCACGUAACGAUCAGUUAGAAUUGUGGAUCGUAUUAUAAUAUGUAAGAAUUUUUCAAUUUAUUGACUUAAAAACUUUUGUAUCGAGGCUUCAGUUGGAAGAGACGUCGAUAAAUAAUCACAAUUCAUCUUUGAAACAACUCACUCUAAAAUGUUAGAAAACUCUAAAAACUCUUUCGAUUGUCAACUCAGAAUCGAACGUGAAUACUCUAGAUUGAAAUCAAAAUAAUCCAUUUACCUAAAUUAGAUCGUUUGAAGAUGAACAAACUAUAUUUAUGUGAAACUAUUUAAUGGUUAUUUAUCCGCAUAAUUGAUUAAUUGAGUUUCUCACCUUAAUAAUGCUGACUCAUCAGCAACAUGCUUAGGACUUUGAGAGGAGAAGUUGCGUACGCUAAGUACCAAUUUAGUCUUUUAGGUUAUCUCGCAACUUAUUAACACAACAUUCAACUUGUGAUUGGGUGACUUGUCGCUUCCUCACUAAUUUUUUAUUUUAUUUUGGGUCAUACUUAGUCAUUUUUUCAGAGAAAUUGGUUUGCUGACAUCAUCCAAAUAGAUGGGAGCAUGAAAAUGGUGUUUCUUUUUUUCUUUUAUUGUUAUUAUUAAAAAAUUUGUUUACAGUGUAUUAUUGGUUGAAUACAUUAUAAUAUAUAUAUAUUUAAGUCGAUGGAUGUUUAUAUAUAUAUUUGAUCAGAUUACACUACAACAAAAACGGUCUAUAGCGACACUUUUAAAUAUAGGCAUACAUUGUUAAAAACGUGAUGCUAGCUAAAAUUACCGACACUUUUAAAAAGUGUUGCUAUAUGUGGGGUCGCUAGGUAUAUAGUGACAGUUAAAGAGUGUCGCUAUAACCUAAAAGAGUGCUGCUAAUUUACCAACACUUAUUUAAAUAUUUAGCAACCGUCGAAACUCUAUCUCGUUGGCUGCGGUGGCGGAGGAGGACGACAGUAAAGACUCUUCAUCUAGAAUUUCAGUGGAUUGAGUGAAGAGAGAAGAAAAGAUGGUAAUUAAUUUUUCUUUUUUUUUUCUUUUCUGUUUGUAAUCGGGCCAAAUGGACUGGGUGUGGUGGGUUGAGUAGAGUAAUUUUUUAUUUUUGGUUGGAUUGGGUUUUAUAUUUAGGCAUUAGUAGAUGUAUUUUUAAGUUUUAGUAUAAAUGGGACACUUACUCAAAAGUGUUCCAAACAUGUGUCCCUAUAACUUAAUUCUGUUGUAGUGUUAAUACAUCAUAUUUAUUAAAAAUAAACAUCACUUAUAUUCUUCUCGGCUAAAAACAACUUGACUCUU
rnacentral:lncRNA from 1 species